UUAGGCGCUGGCAUGCCUCAGUAGCGGCGAGUGAGCGGCAAGAGCUCAGAUUUGAAAUCUCACCUAGUGUGCGAGUUGUAAAUUGCAGGUUGGAGUCUCGGGUUAGACGUGUGUGCAAGUCCCUUGGAACAGGGUGCCACUGAGGGUGAGAGCCCCGUAGCGUGCAUGUCGACACCUGUGAGGCCCUUCUGACGAGUCGAGUUGUUUGGGAAUGCAGCUCUAAGUGGGUGGUAAAUUCCAUCUAAGGCUAAAUAUUGGCGAGAGACCGAUAGCGAACAAGUACUGUGAAGGAAAGAUGAAAAGCACUUUGAAAAGAGAGUGAAACAGCACGUGAAAUUGUUGAAAGGGAAGGGUAUUGGGCUCGACAUGGGAUUUACGCAUCGUUGCCUCUCGUGGGCGGCGCUCUGGGUUUUUCCUGGGCCAGCAUCGGUUUUCGUUGCAGGAUAAGGACAAUUGGAAUGUGGCUCCUCGGAGUGUUAUAGCCUUUUGUAGAUGCUGCGUAUGGGGACCGAGGGCUGCGGCGGACUCGUUUCGUCUCGGAUGCUGGCACAACGGCGCAAUACCGCCCGUCUUGAAACACGGACCA
rnacentral:rRNA from 1 species